AAAUCAUCAAAUCUUUCAUUAUUUGGAAGGUUUGGAUAUGGGAGUGUUGUUGGUCUUUUGUGGUCAGCUCUCCUCAAACGUAUUAGCAGGAAGCUUUUGUAACCGUCUAUUGGUGUGAUAAUUAUCUAUAUCAUUGACAGUUACACUUAGUAUAAGCAUUUUGCUUCUAACUGUCUACUUAUGUGGACAACAUUUGACA
rnacentral:misc_RNA from 1 species